UACAGAGGUCCCAAGCGUUGUUCGGAUUCAUUGGGCGUAAAGGGUGCGUAGGCGGCGCGGUAAGUCGGGUGUGAAAUCUCGGAGCUUAACUCCGAAACUGCAUUCGAUACUGCCGUGCUUGAGGACUGGAGAGGAGACUGGAAUUUACGGUGUAGCGGUGAAAUGCGUAGAUAUCGUAAGGAAGACCAGUGGCGAAGGCGGGUCUCUGGACAGUUCCUGACGCUGAGGCACGAAGGCCAGGGGAGCAAAACGGG
rnacentral:rRNA from 1 species